rnacentral:piRNA from 1 species
AACCAUAAACCACCGUAAUUGUAACUGAGG